UACGGGGGGGGCAAGCGUUGUUCGGAAUCACUGGGCGUAAAGCGCACGCAGGCGGGUCGUUAAGUCAGGGGGGAAAUCCCGAGGCUCAACCUCGGAACUGCCUUUGAUACUGGCGAUCUUUGAGUCCGGGAGAGGUGAGUGGAACUCCGAGUGUAGAGGUGAAAUUCGUAGAUAUUCGCAAGAACACCAGUGGCGAAGGCGGCUCACUGGCCCGGUACUGACGCUGAGGUGCGAAAGCGUGGGGAGCAAACAGG
rnacentral:rRNA from 1 species